rnacentral:misc_RNA from 1 species
GAGUGACGUCACGCGGAAGGGCUGUGUUUAAAUUUUUACAAAUAUUUGGAUUUUAGCACAUUUUUACACUGUUUUAGUGGAUUAUAUACAGAUCGAGGAUAUUCUAGGGAUAAAACAAACGUCCAAGCAUAUGUAGAAGUCAUAUAAAGUACCAUGCUCAAGUGCUUUCCUCUGUGGAAGGCCUGCAACCGGCAGGUCGAGUACAUCGACCGAACUCACGGAAAUUUGACCUCGGUUCCGGAUGAUAUUUUACGAUAUUCCAGAAGUUUGGAGGAAUUAUUACUUGAUGCAAAUCAAAUCAGAGAGUUACCUAGGGGAUUUUUCCGGCUUGUGAACCUUCGAAAACUCAGUCUGAGUGACAAUGAAAUAUCCAGGAUUCCACCAGAUAUAUCCAAUUUAAUAAAUUUAGCUGAAUUGGACGUCAGUCGAAACGAUGUUGCUGAAAUUCCUGAAAAUAUCAAGUUUUGUAAAAGUCUCCAGUCUGCAGAUUUCAGCAGCAACCCAAUAGCAAGGUUACCUGAUGGCAUCACCCAACUACGAAGUCUUACCCACCUAGUGUUGAAUGAUGUCUCCUUGGCCAGACUUCCCCCUGAUAUAGGAAGUCUGUCCAACCUGCAAGUGCUAGAACUGAGAGAGAAUGUGUUAAAGUUCCUGCCAUCUUCCCUGUCAUUCUUGCUGAAGCUAGAGAGCCUUGACCUUGGAGGAAAUGAACUCGAGGAACUGCCAGAGAAUAUUGGUUCAUUGCCGAGUCUUCAGGAGCUCUGGUUGGAUUGCAAUGAACUCUCAGAACUACCUCCGGAGAUUGGUAACCUGAAGAAAUUAACUCAGAUAGAUGUCUCUGAGAAUCAUUUGGAGUUUCUGCCCGAGGAGAUUGGAGGGCUCACCAACCUGACUGACUUACAACUCUCCCAGAACCAACUGGAAAGUCUUCCUGAAGGCAUAGGUCAGUUAAGAAAGCUAUCCAUUCUAAAAGUUGACCAGAACAGAUUGUUAAUCUUAACACCUCAGAUCGGAAAUUGUGAAUGUAUGAACGAGCUGAUUUUAACUGAAAACCUUCUGUUGGAACUGCCUACAACUAUAGGGAAGAUGAAGAGAAUUACCAACUUCAAUGUGGACAGAAAUAGACUACAAGAUAUUCCAAUGGAGAUUGGUCGGUGUACUAAGCUGAGUGUGCUCUCCAUGAGGGACAAUAGAGUGAUGCACCUCCCUAUAGAGAUAGGUAACCUCAAGGACCUCCAUGUGCUUGAUGUAUCUGGGAAUAGACUUGAGUACCUGCCUCUGACAGUGACCCAGCUAAACCUGAAGGCUCUGUGGCUCUCAGAGAACCAGGCCCAGCCAAUGUUGAAGUUCCAGACAGACUAUGAUGAGAAGACCAACCAGAAAGUGUUGACAUGUUUCCUCCUUCCUCAACAGGCUUAUCAUACAGAGAGCAUGGAGAAUCUACUAAAAGGCAGUGUAGCUACGGAUCAAGACAGUCGUCUCAGCUGGAGUGAACGUGAUGUUAGCACAAAGUCUGUUGAUACAAGUCGUGUCAAGUUUGCAGGACAAGAAGAAGAAGAGGAUGAUGAAGUAUUAACAGAUGAUGAGUCUCACUUUGUUCGCCAUGGUACACCACAUCCUAAAGAGCUCAAGGCACGUCACCAGAAACUAUUGGCCAAUAAAAAGGUAGAUGGUCACAUGAUCCAACAUGACCCUAGCAAGAAGAAGGAGGAUAAUGUCUUUGUGCCGUCACGUGACAAAGAUGUCAAGUUUGAAAGUAACGAUAUGCCACCCAAGCCUGUAGUUAACACUUAUACUAAAGCACAGCCUUCUGCUCCACCUGUGGAACCAGUCUAUCUCACUAAGCCCCCUGUAAGAGUGGAGCCUCCUAAGCAACCUGUUGUCAAGGAAGUUGUUGUAUCUACAGUAACUACUACCAUAGCAACCAAAGAGGAGAAACCAAGCACAGAUGAAGAGGCUGAAUCUGACAACAAGGAGAACUCUCCAGAGGAAGAGGAUGAUGAUGGUGAAUAUGACCACGAGCUUGUAUAUAGUGAAAAGCAUGUUGGUUUCUCAGAAGAAUUGGCAGAUGAGCCAGAAAAAGACCUGAAGUUACGGAGACGGGAUACACCACAUCACUUGAAAAAUAAACGCAUCUUGAUUGACAGCUCUGGAUCUGAUGCUGAACUCAAGAUCCGUGAGAUCCUGGCUGGCAAGAAAGCUUCAACUGAAGAAGAGUCAGAAGAGACAGACAAACCAUCAGAGCCCUCUGGGGAGGAACUACCAGAUUCACCCCCACCACCAAUUGUCCCAAGGAUGCGAAGAUCACCCCCUCCUCCAGCUCGGGAGCCGUCUCCUCCUCCAGAAAGAUCUCCUACUCCGCCUCCUGUCGUCCCAACAUCAAUCUUGUCAAACAGUAAAGAGCCACAUGUGUCGUCAACUAAGCAGGUAGCUAUGGAGGUGUCUGAAGAAGAGGUGUCCAUUAAGAUUGUACGUGAGCAAGGUCAGGGCCUAGGGAUCAGUAUAGCAGGAGGUAUUGGCUCUACACCUUACAGAGGGGAUGAUGAGAGUAUUUUCAUAUCCCGUGUGAAUGAAGAUGGCUGUGCUGCUGCAGCUGGACUCAUGGUGGGGGACAAAGUUAUCUCAGUAAAUGGUGUAAAUACUCUUCAUGUUGACCACACUGUUGCUGUGCAAGCCUUGAAGGAGGCUGGCAAUAUUGUAUGUAUGGUUGUGGCGAGAGAGAUGUUUGUGCAGCCAAAUGAACCAAAGACAGUCCCCAACAGUGAGGUGAAGAAACGCCGCAACUCCGCUGGCAACAACGUAUCUUUCGCUCCUGAACCAGAAAUGGAGAUCCAGGCAGAGACAGUUAGUGUGAGUCUAUCUAGAGAUGAGAGUGGAUUAGGGUUUAGCAUAGCAGGGGGUAGGGGAAGCGUGCCUUUUAGACCUGGCUCUACGGAUGAUGCAAUUUACAUAUCACGUGUGACUGAAGGGGGUGUGGCUGAGAGAUGUGGCCAGUUGCAAGUGGGGGAUAGGAUUUUAUCAAUCAACAAUGUAGAUAUGACAGAUGCCCGACAUGACCAAGCAGUUGCUCUCCUUACAAGUUCGGCUAAUGAUGUCCAUUUAGUGGUCUAUAGGGAGCAGUUAGUUGUCAAACAACCUGAACUCAAUUCUAGUGAAAAACAAACAAGAACUGCUCCGCCAGUAGUUGAACAUAUAGAACAACCUGUAAAGGAACACAUUAGUGAAGUUAAACCAAUACUAACUGCUCCCCCAGUAGUGACCAAAGCAGACAAUAGGCCCUCUAGUGAGGCCUCAGAUUCAGGAGAAAUAAAAACGAACACUGGCAGUUUUAGUUAUAAGCCAAGAUUUGUGCCGCCCACUAGGAUUACUACAAAUGAAACAAAUGACUCUGAAGUGAAUAGUUCAGGUAUUGCUCAAGCAAAGACAAUUACCACGACAACCAAGCAGGUUGUCACAACAACAAAGCCAGUUGUCAAGACAACGGUUCAAUCCCCAUCCCCUUCUUCCCCCAAUGAACCCAAAGUGCCAGAGAAACCAAGUCCAUAUGCACAGGAACUAAUAACAGUAAUUAAAGCAGGAGGUCCCCUUGGCCUGAGUAUUGUUGGGGGCAAUGACCAAUCUAGUCAGCCAUUUGGUAACAAAGAUGAUGAGUCUGGGAUAUUUGUUUCUAAGAUUGUACCAUUUGGUGCAGCCUCAAAAGUAAAUCUGCAGGUUGGGGAUCGUGUGUUGAAGGUGAAUGAGAAAGAUGUCACUAAUGCUAGCCAUCAAGAGGCUGUCAUGGCUCUUAUAUCCCCAACAUAUGACAUCAAGCUGUUGGUCAGACACGACCCUCCUCCCAAAGGGCUUACUGAGUUGAACAUCCCCAAGGGUAAUGGUGAAAAAUUGGGUAUGAGUAUAAAGGGAGGACUUCAUAGUCAACCUGGCAACCCUGCUAACAAGGCUGAUGAAGGAAUAUUUGUCUCAAAGAUCCAGCCAGGUGGCGCUGUAAGUAAAGAUGGCCGUAUGGUGGUUGGACAGAGGAUCCUGGAGGUUAAUGGCACCAGUCUGAUAGGUGCCAGCCACCAGGAGGCAGUGCGAGCACUCCGUAGUGUAGGUGACGUCUUAACAAUCAUGGUGUGUGACGGCUUUGACCCUAGCCAUCACAAUAUGGUGUCCCCCACGGGGACUGGGCCUAGCUUGAACUCUCAGGGACGAUUCGACUCCAUCAGUAGUAUAGAUAGAGAUGAUGCAGACUUCGAUAUUGUCAAACAGGAGCAAGAAACCCUACAGGAAGCUGCUAUGUGGGAACAGGAAGAUUUGGCAAAGAUUGAACAAAUGAGGAGGGAGCAAGAACGACAAACUCAACAGCUGACUAAAGAGAAUAGUGUUCAGAGUCUCAACAGUAUCGCCAGUCUUAACAGUCUGGAUGAUAUUCCUUUCGCUGAUAGCAUCCCAAAGGACCCUUCAGCCCCAGCAGCUCCUACCCCCCAGCCUGCAAAACAGCCCCCACCAGUCGCACAUAAGCCAGCGCCCCCUGUUGCACAGAAGCCAUCCAAAAUACCCAAGCCCCCUGUAAGCCAGAAACCUAAAAUCCCUCCACCAGGUGUCACCUCUGGAGAUAUUGACCCAAUUAGGGCUUCCCGGUUACCUGCAGCUAAAAUCAAACCCAAGACUAAUAUACCUAAGCCUGGCUUUGAAAGCAAGUCACCAGCUGAAGAUGUACAGACUGAGAACAAGCCAGAAGAAAACAAACCCAUAGACAACAAAACUAGAUCUUUAAUUGAUAGGAAGAAAUUUUUUGAGCAAGAGAUCAAACAGUCCAGUGAAACUCAACCAAAAACAGCCAAAAAGUUUUCCUACCUCCAAGAACAUGAGAUAUCUAAAAUGAAAAUAGAAGAUGAUCAGAAGACUAAUUCUAUGUCUAAAGAGGAAAUAUUGAACUACAUGUCUUCAGAUUCCAAAGAUCAUGAUUUUAGCAAAAUAAUAGCAAAGAAACCCGAUGUAACAGUUAAUGCUCAUACAGACUCACAGGUUGAGACCACAAAGCAGCAAAUCAUGGAACUAGAGACAACCUCUAAUGGUGGAGUUUGAAGCAUCACGCAACAUUUGACAAGGCUUGAUGGAUUCACUGGGCAUAGCAAUGCUGCGGGUCUUAUGUUACUAUGGCAACUUUGAGAUUGUUGCUAUGGCAGUGGUUACUAAGUUUGUGCUAUGAUACCUGUAACUGAGUCUAUCACCAUGACAUACGUUACUGCAAGAGAAUAUUGUUAUGUCAGCUGUAGACUCAAUACGUGCUAUCUGCUGCUUAAAUAAGGAACAGUACAGCUAGAGCAAGAUGCAAAGAGGAAUCCCUGGUUAUUUCCAUUUAACCUACAUGAAUAAUGGAAAGUGAAAUGUUCAGGCAUGGACGAUUAAUUGUACAGUAAGAUGUGUGUUAGAAUAUUAUUCUAACUGCUUUUCAUUUUCGAAAUAACAAUGUUUGAACUUGGGUCUGCGAGUGGUUUCGUUUGGAUUCAGCCACCAGAUCUACUGAAUUGAGAUAUACAGGUACUCAACUGCAACAUCUACAGUAGGUUAACAUGAGCUACAGUAUUAUUAUAACAUGUACUGCAUACAUUAUGUUAUCAUGUAAAAAGCAAGGCCUAACAAUAAUAAUGCCCAAUGUGCAAUAGGAAAGAGCUCAUGGUAUGCUCCCGGAGGACAGGGGAGCAUGUGUUUUGCUCCGAGGAAUGAGCUCGUGGUAUGCUCCCAUAGGACAAGGGAGCAUAUGCUAUGCUCCAAGGGGAGCUGUUUGUGUGCGAUUGUAGGGUGGAAGUGUGUAUAUUGUACAGUGUGGACUACACAUUAUGGAUUCCGAUGCAGUGUGAACCAACGUGGUUGUAUAGAAUCAAUGUGGUGCUGUACAAAAGGGCAAUGAUUUGAUAUCAUUGACCAGCUUGUAGUUAGAUUAGUUGAACAGUAAGCAGUUGUAUGCUUCAUAGAUGUCAGGUUUGGUUUAGCUUGGCUUACUUCUAGUAAGGGUACAUGCUUGUAAGGACAGCUUUACUUCAGAUGUGUGUAUAUCAAAGUCCAUGGUCAAAGAUCAUGUAGACAGUGAAGCUGUGAAUGUCCUUGGUCUUUGAAUUAUUUAAUAGGGCUUGGAAUCAUAGUCCUAGGCAGGAUGCGAUAUAAGGAUUCAGGACUUCCUGAUAUAAUUGAAUUUAAACGCUAUACAGUAUGUGCUUAAAUCAGCUGACCUGUUGUAAAUCUAACUUGUCUGGCCUUUCAGCCUGGCACUUACGUCGCAUCCUGAUUCUGGGUCCAUGUGAUUCGGAAACCAUUGUCAGUGUAAAUCUGUUACUUCCACUGAGUACAGGGUGGUCCAGGAAAUAUGUGAAACAUAGCUUUUCUUGUAAUAUAUGUAUUAAAGGGAGAUGUGUAAAUGUUUUUUAUCAGAGUAUGAAUGGGUUUGAACAAUACCUUUAGAUAUAUUACAUAAUAGUGAUGCUAAUUAUAAAUGUAACAUUGAAUUGGCACUAAGAUAUCAAUGGAAACAAUGUUUUGUAUUGUGGAGAGAAUUUUAUGUAAUCACUGAUAUAAAACAUAUGUGUCAUAAUGACACAAUUAUCAAUUUAUUCGUUUCAAUAAAUUAUUUUAUAUUGGACUUUUUUAUAAUGCAUAUGACUAAUUAAUUUUCAGCAAUUUAUAUUAGAAGCAAAUGUUCAUCAAGGAUUGUCCCUUGUUUAUCUGUAAAAAAUUGAUUUAAUUCCUAUUUUCCUCUAUGCAAAACUGAUCAUAGUGCUGAAAUUUUCUUUUGAAAUUUGCUGAUUCUUAAGAGAGCAAAACCUUUUAAUAUUGUAAUGGUUUAUGGAAUCUUCAUUUACAUACACAUUCUAUCAUCAGUUAUUUUAGUAUGAAUAUCAGUUAUUGUCUGGAUACUGGUUUAUAUGUAAUGUAAUUGUAUAAUAUGUAUAGCUUAAGCAUCAAUUAGAAUAAUUAUGAAAAUUAAAACAAAUUAUCAUUUUUAGUGUCCUUGGGACAAAUCAUGUUAAAAAAAGAAAUUAUUGAUUUUUAUUAGAAAAAUGAAAAACUUUUUAAAGUUUCUAUGAAUAUUGUUUUUAUUAUCUAACUUUACUGUUCGGUUUUAGCCUGUACAUAGUAUUUAAUAUACAAUUGACAACAUCCAACUGAAUGGAGCCAUAUUAUGCCAUAUAAAAUUAGUAACAGAAGAAUUAUACAGUACAUUGUAAACAAAAUGACAUUAUUUAAUAAAAAAGAUAUACAUACAAAACA